AGUGAACGCUGGCGGUAGGCCUAACACAUGCAAGUCGAACGGCAGCACAGUAAGAGCUUGCUCUUACGGGUGGCGAGUGGCGGACGGGUGAGGAAUACAUCGGAAUCUACUUUUUCGUGGGGGAUAACGUAGGGAAACUUACGCUAAUACCGCAUACGACCUACGGGUGAAAGCAGUGGAUCUUCGGACCUUGCGCGUUUGAAUGAGCCGAUGUCGGAUUAGCUAGUUGGCGGGGUAAAGGCCCACCAAGGCGACGAUCCGUAGCUGGUCUGAGAGGAUGAUCAGCCACACUGGAACUGAGACACGGUCCAGACUCCUACGGGAGGCAGCAGUGGGGAAUAUUGGACAAUGGGCGCAAGCAUGAUCCAGCAAUACCGCGUGGGUGAAGAAGGCCUUCGGGUUGUAAAGACCUUUUGUUGGGAAAGAAAAGCAGCAGGUUAAUACCCCGCUGUUCUGACGGUACCCAAAGAAUAAGCACCGGCUAACUUCGUG
rnacentral:rRNA from 1 species